GCCAUGAUCAAGACAGAUGGAGUCGCUGCUCUCCUGGAGUUUACAUCCUCUAAGGGAAGACAGACGGCACACAGACAGAAAGUACGCUAUAUCCCGAGGCACAGAAGAGAGGGGAGUGGACGGGUUCUUUCGGAUUGACUGGUGAGGGAAGGUCUGGAUGAGAAGGGACAAUGCUGGACAUAAAGGAGAGACAGCUGAGGAGGGACUGAGCCCACUUCCGAGGGGAGACAGACAUUUACGCAGAUGAUUAUAAAAAGGUUGUGUUUCUGCAGAGACAUAGCAGGGAUGUGUGACCUCAGGAGAGGGACAUCACCUCUCCUGGCCUCGGUUUCCUUGUCUGUAAUGAGAUGUUCCCAGAAGCACCUACUGCAUAGGCUUGACAUAAGGAUGCAAUUAGGUGAUGUGUUGUGAUGCCUAGA